rnacentral:rRNA from 1 species
GAUGAACGCUAGCGGCAGGCUUAAUACAUGCAAGUCGAGGGGUAGCAAGAUUGUAGCAAUACAAUUGUUGACGACCGGCAAACGGGUGCGGAACACGUACACAACCUUCCUACAAGUGGGGAACAGCCCAGAGAAAUUUGGAUUAAUACCCCGUAACAUAGCGAUGUGGCAUCACAUUGCUAUUAUAGCUUCGGCGCUUGUUGAUGGGUGUGCGGCUGAUUAGAUAGUUGGCGGGGUAACGGCCCACCAAGUCUACGAUCAGUAGCUGAUGUGAGAGCAUGAUCAGCCACACGGGCACUGAGACAAGGGCCCGACUCCUACGGGAGGCAGCAGUAAGGAAUAUUGGACAAUGGACGCAAGUCUGAUCCAGCCAUGCCGCGUGAAGGAUUAAGGUCCUCUGGAUUGUAAACUUCUUUUAUAAGGGACGAAAAAAGGUCUUUCUAGAUCGUCUGACGGUACCUUAUGAAUAAGCACCGGCUAACUCCGUGCCAGCAGCCGCCGUAAUAC